rnacentral:tRNA from 1 species
GGUCUAUUAGCUCAGUUGGUUAGAGCGUCGAGCUAAUAACACGAAGGCCAUAUGUUUGAAACUUGUAUGGGCCA